rnacentral:lncRNA from 1 species
GUUGGCUGGAGACUUCAAAUUGAAUCCAUGUAUGGGCCGAAGUGGCGGUUGUUCAGAGGCGGUAUUUGUAUACCCUGUACUGAAGCUUUGUAGGUGAAGUUUUGCAAGUGAAGAUUUGAAGCUAGAGUUCUGUAAAUGAAGCUUGUGAAGCUAGAGCUCUGUAAAUAAAACUUUUAAAGCUAGAGCUCUGUAAAUGAAGUUUUUGAAGCUGGAGCUUUUGUAAAUGAAGCUUUUGAAGCUAGAGCUCUGUAAAUGAAGCUUGUGAAGCUAGAGCUCUGUAAAUGAAGCUUUUGAAGCUGAUUGACAUGAGUGAUGCUCAUGAAUGUUUAUGUUGAUUGACAUAAGUGAUGCUCAUGGAUGUUGUCAUGAGUGAUGCUCAUGAAUGUCAUGUUAACAUGAAUGAUGGUCAUGAAUGUUUAUGUAUGAUUGUCAUGAGUGAUGCUCAUGAAUGUUUAUGUAUGAAUGACAUGAGUAAUGCUCACGUAUAAUUUGGAGUACUGGACGUACUUUUGAUCACCUGGUUGGUGGCAUGAAGGAGAGUACGGGUUGUACAUUUCAUCACCUGGUUGGUGGCAUGAAUGGCUGGUUGCCAAAUGAUAUUAGAGUACGAGAUGUACAUUUCAUCACCUGGUUAAUGGUAAUAGCGGCAGGUUGUCGAAUAAUUUUGGGGUACUGGGCGUACUUUUGAUCACCUGGUUGGUGGUAAUAGCAGUAUGUUGUCGAAUAAUUGUGGAGUACUGGGCGUACUUUUGAUCGCCUGAUUGGAGCUAUUUUGGGCUUAUGGGCCUUUGCCAUCUACACAACAUUCCAGCCCAUUUAUUUUGGGCUUUGCCUUUUUUUUUUUAACCCUCUGAUGAGGUUUAUACAGAUAUCUCCAAAAGAUACGAAAAAUAAAUUACAUAAAAAAAAUAAGGAAAGUAAACCACAUCAUUCUGGUGGGGUGUUUAUUCCUUACUUUUGCUUGCUCUUUUGCUUUCUGCUUUUCUUGAUCUCCCCGCUCCUUCUCUAUCCAUCUUGAUUGGUAAGGUAUCUUUUGCCAAACCCAUUUGCUUUGGUCGUGCCCAUCCAUUCUCUCUGUCUUUGUCUUUUCCUUUUUCUAUUUUGUUUUGCUUUUGCUGUCUUUUAGAAGAUGGUAGACAAUAAUAACAUAGUUAAUAAUAGAAAACUUAUCUUCUUCAUUGCAACCCAAUCAGGUUGGGAAGAGGACCACUGUAGCUGCUCAAUUUCAGCCCUAGCCGUGUAGGCCA